rnacentral:misc_RNA from 1 species
GAUGAAGAACGCAGCGAAAUGCGAUAAGUAGUGUGAAUUGCAGAAUUCAGUGAAUCAUCGAAUCUUUGAACGCACAUUGCGCCCUUUGGUAUUCCAAAGGGCAUGCCUGUUCGAGCGUCAUUUGUACCCUCAAGCUUUGCUUGGUGUUGGGCGUCUUGUCUCUAGCUUUGCUGGAGACUCGCCUUAAAGUAAUUGGCAGCCGGCCUACUGGUUUCGGAGCGCAGCACAAGUCGCACUCUCUAUCAGCAAAGGUCUAGCAUCCAUUAAGCCUUUUUUUCAACUUUUGACCUCGGACCAGGUAGGGAUACCCGCUGAACUUAAGCAUAUCAAUAAGCGGAGGA